rnacentral:rRNA from 1 species
GACGAACGCUGGCGGCGUGCUUAACACAUGCAAGUCGAACGGAGCACUUCGGUGCUUAGUGGCGAACGGGUGAGUAACGCGUGAGGAACCUGCCUUUCAGUGGGGGACAACAGUUGGAAACGACUGCUAAUACCGCAUAAGCGCACAGUGCUGCAUGGCACAGUGUGAAAAACUCCGGUGGUAUGAGAUGGACCCGCGUCUGAUUAGCUAGUUGGUGAGGUAACGGCUCACCAAGGCGACGAUCAGUAGCCGACCUGAGAGGGUGAUCGGCCACAUUGGGACUGAGACACGGCCCAA